GACAGGGUAAGAGGGGGGGUCGACCAAAGAAAGCUCUCUUCAGUCACUCCCUGUUUUUAAAUCGGGUUCAGUUUUUUCGUGGAGUUGACAGAAGUGCUUGUGUUUGCUGCUUCACUAAACGGCAACUGUGGCUGAAGCCAUGGAGUUUCUCUUGAGGUGGUUUCUGUUGUCCUUGAUAGCUGUUGGAAGACAUCAAGCUCAUGGUUUCAGUGUUGGAUAUGCUGAGAAGCAUGGCGGUAAUGACGUGCCAGUUGCAGGAUAUCGAUUCCAUUCAAGUGGCUCUAAAGCUGCAGGUGGCGCUUCAGGGAGGACUUGGCCUCGUGGUGGUGGUCCAACCUCCAAUGUCUUUAAGGCACCAGAGUAUCAGCGACCAGUUCCGCAGUGGUCACAGACGCGUGGCCAUCUUUACCCGCAGCCUCCCCAGGUGGCCCCAUGGCACGGCCACCCCGCCCAGCAGCAACGGCCACAAGAGCCCCAGGGGCCCCGGCCACCCAUCUAUCCUGCCCAGCAACAAAAGCUACUGCCCCAAGUGGCCCAUUGGCACG